UUGUCGCGGGCUGAGUGGUUAAGGCGAUGGGCUAGAAAUCCAUCGCGGUCUCCCACGCAGGUCCGAAUCCUGCCGAUAAC
rnacentral:tRNA from 1 species